rnacentral:rRNA from 1 species
GACGAACGCUGGCGGCGUGCUUAACACAUGCAAGUCGAACGGAAAGGCGCUGCGUUUGUGGGGUGCUCGAGUGGCGAACGGGUGAGUAACACGUGAGUAACCUGCCCUUGACUUUGGGAUAACUUCAGGAAACUGGGGCUAAUACCGGAUAGGAGCUCCUGCUGCAUGGUGGGGGUUGGAAAGUGUCGGCGUUGGGGGAUGGACUCGCGGCUUAUCAGCUUGUUUGUGGGGUAGUGGCUUACCAAGGCUUUGACGGGUAGCCGGCCUGAGAGGGUGACCGGCCACCUUGGGACUGCGAUACGGCCCAGACUCCUACGGGCGGCAGCAGUGGGGAAUAUUGCACAAUGGGCGGAAGCCUGAUGCAGCAACGCCGCGUGCGGGAUGACGGCCUUCGGGUUGUGAACCGAUUUCGCCUGUGACGAAGCGUGAGUGACGGUAAUGGGUAAAGAAGCACCGGCUAACUACGUG